GAGAGAGUAAAUCAUUUAUUACGCAAAGAAGAAAGUUAUUACAUAAAGAAGACAGUCACAAAAAAAAAUAAUAAGAAGAAGAAAUGGAUGACAGAAACCUACUGAUAAGGCAUUCACAACUUUUCAAGACAAAACAGGAUCAAUGUGUCAAUCACAAAGCAAUAAAUCAGGAAAUUAAACACAGUAAAAGACGAUAAACUAGGCAUACAAAUC
rnacentral:misc_RNA from 1 species